AACCUUUAAGAUCUUAAAAUGUUAAUCCUUUUCAGGAAUAAUCGCUGAGCUCACAUCUAUAUAAAAAAAAAAAUGUUGAGCAUUCCUUACACUGUUUUUCUCCUCAGAGUGAUGUUUCUAGGACGUUGAGUAUGUUUGACUCAGAUGUUGUAUCAUUCCACAGCCACCUGGACGGCUAGCAUAAGUCCUACAAUAGUAAGAGGCGUCUGUUCCUGAAUGCCACAUCUGGGAGACAACUUUAUUUUGACAAGGAGACUAAUGCAGAGGAAACCUAUUUUACAAGCUGGUCUCUCAAGACACUGGGAACACAUCAUCAGCUUCACUGCUGAGGGGUUAAUCCAAGGUUGAGCCUGUGACCAUAGCUGAACUAAACGAGUUUAUCCUCACUCCCAGCCUUAGGUUGUACAAUAAUCUUUAGUAUGAUUGUAUUUUGCAUGUGAUUAUGUUAAUGUAAAAUGUAGAGGUUGAAUUUGUCUGCCCCAUGAAGGUCACUGGAUUUAAUAUGGAUAAAGGCUGGUGCUAUGUCUCUUGCUCCAGAUGUACAAAGAAGCUUCAGCGGACGGUCUCAUCUUUUACUUGACAACCUGCAGUAACACCAAUGCAGUUGGUUUCCUUCGAUAUGUUGGACCCUAAAAUGAGGUCCCAUACAUCAGCAACUAACAUACAUUUUAAACAUUUUAUUUUAUGUAUCGUGUGGAAACAACUAUUGAUGAUGAGAUUGCUGAAAGUCUAUUUGUUGAUUUCA